UUCCUUACAGAUAUGAGGGAACAGCAAACCUCAAUCGAAAUAAUUUCCCGCCAGAAGUCACGUCCAAAUACUGUGAGACUGAGGACUAUAGGACUGACUAUG